rnacentral:lncRNA from 1 species
UGGUGGUGGAAGGUUGUUCAUAGAGUCAACAGUAUUGUGUGGCUCAACUGUUUGAUGAGGUUUAUUGGGCUGGUCUGCGCAUGCAAAUGUUGACAAGGUAUACAAUUAAAAUUAGUUUAUUCAAGUUGAAGACAUAUGAAACAUACAGAAAAAUGUAAGCUUACUACUUGUGCAAUCAUUUUCACUUUUGUCAUAAGGUCCAUAAAAUGCGGUAAGCAAGCUUUCUGCAAGAGCAACAACAAAAGCGGUGACAAAUAAUAUGGUUUGUAAGAACAAAGAAAUGCAAUUUAAUAACAUAAGGGUGUGCAAAAACCUUGCUGGGACUUGGUCGUAGAAGCUUCGAUAUUACCCUGGAGCAGUUGGGUAAGAGAACCUUGCAGUGGGCCAUCUG